rnacentral:tRNA from 1 species
GGGCCCAUAGCUCAGUUGGUUAGAGCGCUUCCUUGACGUGGAAGAGGUCAGGGGUUCGAACCCUCUUGGGCCCA